UACAUGUGAAGGGCUAAAUUUUAUUCUUUAAAAUACUAGUCAUUCAUUGGUAUGGAUUUAAGAAAGCCCAUUAAAAUAUAACUUUUUGAUUAGUCCUUGGAACUGCAUUUAUGUCUGGGAGCAGUUCAAGUCAGUUGAUGACCUUGGAAAAUAAAAUUAUAUUUCUCUCAAAUGAGCAUUGUGGGGUUUAGUUAACAUUUACUGACAGAUAUUAAAGCUUAAGAUAAAAGUUUUACGAGCACAAGCUACCAUGACUGCUUUUACAGAACAGAUUAACACACCAUCCAACAUUUUUACUUAUUCACAGAGAUGCUAGCUCUUUCAAAACAUCCUUGGUACAUUACAGAGGUCCAGAUGAAGUACCACUGCUUGAAAGAGUCCAUUUCUAUUAUUGCCAUCAACAGAGAAAAUGAAAUUAAGAGGAUAUAUUUCAUCCUAAGUAGGACAAUGCUAUGACUCUAUCUAAUCAUUAAAGUCAUAAAUCAGAUUUUAAAAAGAACAUAGAGGGAAAGAAAUCCAUAAUGGACACAAAUGAAACCACUAAUAACU
rnacentral:lncRNA from 1 species